rnacentral:rRNA from 1 species
UACGUAGGGUGCAAGCGUUAAUCGGAAUUACUGGGCGUAAAGGGCUCGUAGGCGGCCAACUAAGUCGGAUGUGAAAUCCCCAGGCUUAACCUGGGAACUGCAUCCGAUACUGGUUGGCUUGAAUCCGGGAGAGGGAUGCGGAAUUCCAGGUGUAGCGGUGAAAUGCGUAGAUAUCUGGAGGAACACCGGUGGCGAAGGCGGCAUCCUGGACCGGCAUUGACGCUGAGUGAGCGAAAGCCAGGGGAGCAAACGGG